GGACGCAACCCCAAUAAGAAGUUUGAUAGUUAGUCCAUUUUCAGACAUCUUCUAGUGAAGAUCUAUUUUUUUUUACCUUCGGUUCCUACUUCACUUUUUUUCCCUCUACAUGCCUUUGCUCACUCUAUCAGUUUUAAUUUUAAUAUCGGUUUCGUUUUCAUUAAUGUGCACUGAAACUCACGACUCGGUCUCUUCGGUGGUUUAGUUAGCUGACGAAGAUAAUCAAGUGAGGUUCAAAGAGAUUUUCAUGCUGAAUUUGCAAGCAAUGGUCAAAGAGAAAAGUAACUCUAGCUAGAGUUUUAUUUUAUUUUUUAAUUUUUUUGGUUUAUUUCUCUUUCUUUACUUUCAUUUAUAUAUCUUGCGUGAUACAUGAAUAUUAGAAAGAUGCUAGAAACAAGAAGGGCGUUGCAUUCAUCUCAAUUUUUACUAUUUAGAAUACAGUGUCUUUCUAUGUAUAUAUGUGUGUGAGCGCGCGUGUGUGCAGUACAUGCAAUAUUGUCUGUAAAUGCUUUGUUGAUGCAUACAUAUACGAAAGAAUGUGUAGAAGAUGUAUAUAUGUGUGUGUGU